rfam:Schistosoma margrebowiei strain Zambia genome assembly, scaffold: SMRZ_scaffold0001630
AUCCAGCUAACGAGUUCAAAAUAGGACGAAACGCGCGUCAAACUGGAU